CAUCCGCUUUAAAUAAAGCAGUUUUUGUCCUUACUUGUAUCCAAGCACAUUAUUAAUUGCCAUUAUAUUCACAAUUAACAAGACAUAGUAAUUACCCCCUCUCUCUUUCCUAAUGGCAUCCCCAUGUUGAAUGGAUGAGAGUAAGAUUAGUAUCUCGGAAGGGGAAGACAGCUGAAAUAAAUAAUGGUCAUUAGAGGGUGUUCACCAAUGUGUCUCGGAAGGCAACUUUCUCGUAUCCUGCCUAUUAGUUGCGCUCGGAUGCGCUGGAGCUUUUUCAGAAAACCAGAUUUACAUUAGAGUUAAAAAUAAGUGUGAUGAUGAAUUUGUCAUCAAGGUCUCACAACAGACAUUAAGAAUAUCUACGCAUGUACGCAUGUCACUGAACUAGGUUUGUUUUUGGACAAUUUUAGGUCAAGAAACUGAACAGUUUUUCUUCUAUUUUAUCAAAUUGCCUUUGGAAUUCUAUUCAGAUUCUACUGUAUAGACCAGUGCAACUCAAGCCUCCUGUAAAUAUUUAUUAAAAUGCUGCAAUAUCUAAAUGUAAGAACACCAUCUGCUUCAUUUUAAAUAAUUUUACAGAAUGUUUUUGAUCAUAGCAUAACUACACCUUGCAAUAAAAUGGAAAUUGCUACAGGAGAACAUUGUGAUCUGCUACAUGCUUUUGGAGAGUCAUGACAGAAAUAUGUGUUCUUUCAUAUUUUUAAAAUAUGUAGCAUAUUUUGAUAUGGAUUGAACUCAUUCUCUUCGCAGGACCCAUUUAUUCCCUCUCUUUGAAAACCGAAUCGUAUUUAAGGGACGGCAUUAUGAGCGACAGAGACGCAGCCAAAGCACCUCAUUCAGCAAUCAGCAAGAUAGUUAAUCCAGACUGUGGGGCCGCAUCCGGACGGGCCCCGGGGCCGUAUUUCAGAGGACACAUCCAUCAUUUGUGAUGUGGCUGAUGUUCCCAUAACUCCAGUCUCACUGGGGUAAUGUUUGCUGGCAUAAUUCAGAGCUCUAUAAAUACAAGAGCUUGAAGGAAAUACGGUGCUUUUAUUAAAACUGUAAAUCGAAAGACUUUCCUACAAAAACCAGAAAAAAUCACUGGCUUUCCCUCAACCCGAGGUUUGCGUUAUUAUAUUGCUCAUGCCAUCUGAUGAUGACAGAAGAAAUGUAAACAGAAACAACAGCGGGAAGCAAAUUUAUUGAAAUAGGUCAAAAUGUCACAUCUUUUUUUCUUUUUUCUUUUUUUUCUUUUUUUCAUUAGCCUUACCCAGGCUUUUGGGUAAGUAUAUAUAUUAUUAUUAUUAUUAUUAUUAUUAUUAUUAUUAUUAUUACUAUUAUUUGAUAUAUAUAUAUAUAUAUAUAUAUAUAUAUAUAUAUAUAUAUAUAUAUCUCAAAUAAUAAUAAUAAUAAUAAUAAUAAUUUAAUUCAUUACAUUUUAAUUUUAGUGAGUUAGUUUUUUAAUAAUAAUAAUAAUAAUUUUAUUAUUAUUAUAUAAAAAUGUCUUACUGUCUCAAGUAUUAAAUAGUAAGAAAAUAUUAUAUUAUAUUAUAUUAUAUUAUAUUAUAUUAUAUUAUAUUAUAUUAUAUUAUAUUAUAUUAUAUUAUAUUAUAUUAUAUUAUAUUAUAUUAUAUUGCUC
ensembl:lncRNA